UACGUAGGGUGCAAGCGUUGUCCGGAAUUAUUGGGCGUAAAGAGCUCGUAGGCGGUCUGUUACGUCGGCUGUGAAAACCUGGGGCUCAACCCCGAGCCUGCAGUGGAUACGGGCAGACUAGAGGUAGGUAGGGGAGAAUGGAAUUCCCGGUGUAGCGGUGAAAUGCGCAGAUAUCGGGAGGAACACCGGUGGCGAAGGCGGUUCUCUGGGCCUUACCUGACGCUGAGGAGCGAAAGCGUGGGGAGCGAACAGG
rnacentral:rRNA from 1 species